UACGAAGGGGGCUAGCGUUGUUCGGAAUUACUGGGCGUAAAGCGCACGUAGGCGGAUAUUUAAGUCAGGGGUGAAAUCCCGGGGCUCAACCCCGGAACUGCCUUUGAUACUGAAGAUCUCGAGACCGGAAGAGGUAAGUGGAACUGCGAGUGUAGAGGUGAAAUUCGUAGAUAUUCGCAAGAACACCAGUGGCGAAGGCGGCUUACUGGUCCGGUUCUGACGCUGAGGCGCGAAAGCGUGGGGAGCAAACAGG
rnacentral:rRNA from 1 species